ACAUUAUCCCUUGUUUUCCCAGGACAAUGGACAAUAAUACACAUAAUGUUGAUUCAUUAGCAACUAUUUUCGAAAAAAUGGUGAUGUUUUUUUUACGUGAAAUAGUAAGAAUGAUUUUAAAUUUUAUUGUGGAAAAAUAUCCUAUUUCUGAAAAUUUUAUUCUUUAUGUAAUAAUAUUAUUUGUAUUACUAUUAUUACUAUUAUUACUAUUAUUUUGUAGUAUGGCUACAUUUGAUAAUAGAAAUAAUAGACAAAUACUACCAAUUUGACAAAAUACUUGAUGAUGAAUUACGUUAAUAAUUACUUAAAAAAAAAAAAAAAAAUCUUAAACUUUUAAAUGUACAUUUUUCUGUUCUGUUUGUUGUAACAUCGGUAGGUAUAAGGGGUGAUGUCAGGUGCGCUGUCUUUCGAUUGCCUUAGAUUUUCAACAAUAGACUGUUUCGUUUUAUGCAAGUUGUGUGUACAAAUUUUCCAUUAAACAAUAUUGUAUCUACACACUGUAUUUAAUUUUUCCAACUUAAAUACUAUAAAAAAAAAUACAUUUUAACAAAAACAUUAACAAAAACAUUUAACAUUUUCCUAAGGUGUUGCUUUAUGACUAUCAAUUUAAAAAGAGCAAUGUAAAUGACAAUUUCAAAAUAUUAGCAUAUUUCCAUAAAAACAUACAAUUAUUCACUAAAUUAAUUUAUUAAUUAGCUAUCUUUAAAGAGUUGUUAUAGGAACACACAAGGAAAAACUAUAGGAAUAAACAAGCAGCCUAAAGUAAAAGGAUCUAAACUCAGGAAGUGAAGACAGAAACGCUGGGGCAGAGAAACACUUCAAAAUUAAAGUCCAAGGGCAGACGCCGAGCCCUCUUGACAGGUGAGAGCGGAGGGCUGGGAAGUCAUCAGGGCCACCAUGAGCAAGAUUGAAAAAUAAUUAGGUUCUCAUAAAUAUAAGAAGUUAUUGUCCAUUGUCCAUUGUCAGGCAGUUGCCCAGAGAGAGAUCUUGUUGUCCUGCCCACAACAAAAGCUGGUGUCAUGCUGGUCUGGAGCAGAUCAUCAUAAUAGUGGUAGAAGAGCGAUUCUGAAAGCUUAAGAUUCGAAACGUCAUCAACGUCUGUGGGACUUCUUCGAUUCUAUCUUCUAUCAUGCAGAAAACAACUCGAACUAUCUCCAGACUGCACGCUUUGGGUGAAGUCUCAAUCAGAUCUCUCUUUGUCAAAUCUUGUGCUGAGGUUCAGUGGAGCAAUGCAAGUAAAAUUGUUCAUUGCAGCUGGCCUCUAAAGAGAUGGUGUCUUGCCAAGCAUAACUGACCACAAAAACCCCUGGUCAUUAAGUUUGAUUGCUCGGAAGCCCCAAAAAAAUAAUUGCAUAAUUUGAAAAAUAGCGCAUCUUGAAAAACUCAUUCUGUUUCUUGAUGUUGUUAUGACUUCUUGACAGUAUGCAUGUAUAAAAAAGCUGAGCGACCUGUUUACUCAUUGUUAUAUGGAAUAAAUGAUGAACAUGA